rnacentral:rRNA from 1 species
AGCAGUCGCCACGGGAAUACGGAGGGAGCUAGCGUUGUUCGGAAUUACUGGGCGUAAAGCGUGCGUAGGCGGUUUGUUAAGUCUGUUGUGAAAUCCCCGGGCUCAACCUGGGAAUGGCAAUGGAUACUGGCAAGCUAGAGUGUGUCAGAGGAUGGUGGAAUUCCCGGUGUAGCGGCGAAAUGCGUAGAGAUCGGGAGGAACAUCAGUGGCGAAGGCGGCCAUCUGGGACAACACUGACGCUGAGGCACGAAAGCGUGGGGAGCAAACAGGAUUAGAGACCCCUGUAGUCCCUGUCUCUUAUAC